AUGAAAGCUUUGAAAGGGAUAAGUAGAUAUUAUAAUAUUUUAAAGAGAGUGAGAGAUUUGGUGUAAACUCACAGAUAUAUAAUAUUGAAACUCACCCUUGAGCUGUAAGCUGAAAUUAGUAGGCUGGGCCGGCUUUGCCGUUAUUAAAUUGAGUAAUAAAAUUGGGUGGUACCGUGAACAGACUUCUCACCCCAUAA
rnacentral:ncRNA from 1 species